CACCGGAAAAAGAGGAGUGGCGAACGGGUGAGUAACACGUGGGUAACCUGCCCAUCAGAAGGGGAUAACACUUGGAAACAGGUGCUAAUACCGUAUAACAAUCGAAACCGCAUGGUUUUGAUUUGAAAGGCGCUUUCGGGUGUCGCUGAUGGAUGGACCCGCGGUGCAUUAGCUAGUUGGUGAGGUAACGGCUCACCAAGGCCACGAUGCAUAGCCGACCUGAGAGGGUGAUCGGCCACAUUGGGACUGAGACACGGCCCAAACUCCUACGGGAGGCAGCAGUAGGGAAUCUUCGGCAAUGGACGAAAGUCUGACCGAGCAACGCCGCGUGAGUGAAGAAGGUUUUCGGAUCGUAAAACUCUGUUGUUAGAGAAGAACAAGGAUGAGAGUAACUGUUCAUCCCUUGACGGUAUCUAACCAGAAAGCCACGGCUAACUACGUGCCAGCAGCCGCGGUAAUACGUAGGUGGCAAGCGUUGUCCGGAUUUAUUGGGCGUAAAGCGAGCGCAAGCGGUUUCUUAAGUCUGAUGUGAAAGCCCCCGGCUCAACCGGGGAGGGUCAUUGGAAACUGGGAGACUUGAGUGCAGAAGAGGAGAGUGGAAUUCCAUGUGCAGCGGUGAAAUGCGUAGAUAUAUGGAGGAACACCAGUGGCGA
rnacentral:rRNA from 1 species